rnacentral:misc_RNA from 1 species
GAAAUGCGAUAAGUAAUGUGAAUUGCAGAAUUCAGUGAAUCAUCGAAUCUUUGAACGCACCUUGCGCUCCUUGGUAUUCCUUGGAGCAUGCCUGUUUGAGUAUCAUGAAAUCUUCAAAGUAAAUCUUUUGUUAACUCAAUUGGUUUCUACUUUGGUCUUGGAGGUCUUUGCAGCUUCACACCUGCUCCUCUUUGUUCAUUAGCUGGAUCUCAGUGUUAUGCUUGGUUCCACUCGGCGUGAUAAGUUAUCUAUCGCUGAGGACACUGUAAAAGGUGGCCAAGGUAAAUGCAGAUGAACCGCUUCUAAUAGUCCAUUGACUUGGACAAUACUUUUAUGAUCUGAUCUCAAAUCAGGUAGGACUACCCGCUGAACUUAAGC